rnacentral:hammerhead_ribozyme from 1 species
AUCCAUCUGACGAGUCCCAAAUAGGACGAAACGUGCUUCCUGGAU